AAAGUACUCCCUUCGUCCCAAAAUUCUUGUCUUAGAUUUGUCUAGGUACGGAUGUAUCAAGUCACAUUUUAGUAUUAGAUACAUCCGUAUCUAGACAAAUCUAAGACAAGAAAUUUGGGACAGAGGGAGUAGUUG
rnacentral:pre_miRNA from 1 species